UCCAAGUUUUAUUUUAGAUUGACAGAAUCACCAAGUGUCCAUCUAAUACAGCAAGUAGAAGACAUAAAAAGAAUAAAGUGCGUAUGCACAUGCAAGACAGAAAACAAGCCCCAUACACAUUCUAACAGGUCUCAUUGUAACAUAUCGUUUUUAUAGAGCUUUAAGGCAUCCAGUAGCAGAGUUUCAUUGCAGACCUCUGAAAACCAGCUGACAGAAUGCCAGAAGGGUCCCUCUUGUUCCACAGAAGUUUUCUUCAAAUCCAGGUCAAUAACCUGCUAAAAAGCCACCUAUUUCCCUCUUCUUGCAUGUGUUUCUCAGGAAAACUGUUGUAAUCUUACCUGAUUCUCAAAAAAAUGUCAACACAUUGAUUGUAUUUUUCAUCUGAUCCUGUCAAUGCUGAGAUGACAGGCCCU